AACGAACGCUGGCGGCAUGCCUAACACAUGCAAGUCGAACGAGACCUUCGGGUCUAUUGGCGCACGGGUGCGUAACGCGUGGGAACCUGCCCUUAGGUUCGGAAUAACUCCCCGAAAGGGGUGCCAAUACCGGAUAAUGUCUUCGGACCAAAGAUUUAUCGCCUUUGGAUGGGCCCGCGUUGGAUUAGCUAGUUGGUAGGGUAAAAGCCUACCAAGGCGACGAUCCAUAGCUGGUCUGAGAGGAUGAUCAGCCACACUGGGACUGAGACACGGCCCAGACUCCUACGGGAGGCAGCAGUGGGGAAUAUUGGACAAUGGGCGAAAGCCUGAUCCAGCAAUGCCGCGUGAGUGAUGAAGGCCUUAGGGUUGUAAAGCUCUUUUACCCGGGAUGAUAGUGACAGUACCGGGAGAAUAAGCUCCGGCUAACUCCGUG
rnacentral:rRNA from 1 species